UACGAAGGGGGCUAGCGUUGCUCGGAAUCACUGGGCGUAAAGCGCACGUAGGCGGCUUUCUAAGUCAGGGGUGAAAUCCUGGAGCUCAACUCCAGAACUGCCUUUGAUACUGGAGAGCUCGAGUCCGGAAGAGGUGAGUGGAACUCCGAGUGUAGAGGCGAAAUUCGUAGAUAUUCGGAAGAACACCAGUGGCGAAGGCGGCUCACUGGUCCGGUACUGACGCUGAGGUGCGAAAGCGUGGGGAGCGAACAGG
rnacentral:rRNA from 1 species